CAUGCUGUGGACACGCUGGCUCGUGCUGCUGCUCUGCUGGGGGGCCACAGGCAGCGAGCAGCAGGCGGAUGAGAGGGGUGCGGUACCGGCUGAGGUCCGGUCGGACUCCCGCAGAGAGCGCUCACCUCCGCCGGUGGAGCCGCUGGAUUUUGGGUUUGUACCCGCGGCGGUUUACGACACCCACGCUUAUUACGAGCCAGGGAGCAUGGGGAUCCUCUUCCAUAUGGUCCACGCGUUUCUCUACAUCCUUCAGCCGAACCCCUUUCCCAAAGAUCUCAUUGUCAAAGUCAUUCAGCAAAACAUGGGUGGAAUCAAAAUAGAGGAAUGGAGAAAGCCAGAAAACGUCGUCUUGUUGCUGCAGUGGAUCCAGUACGAGUCCGGAUUUCUCAUAUGUGCAACCUUCGGCGUCGUGUUUGUGGUCCUUAUCCCCGUCAUAGCUAUGUGCUUCUGCAUGUGUCGAUGCUGUGAUAACUGUGGAGGGGAGAUGCAUCAGAGACAGAGGAAAAAUGCAGACUGUCACAGAGGUUUCUAUACCGCCUCGCUGGUUGCUACAACCAUCUUCAUCAUUGUGGGUGUUCUCAUUGCUCUCGCCGCAAACCACAACAUCAGCUCACAGGUCAAAAGCACUCGGCGGCUCAUUAACACCAACAUGAGAGACCUGAAGACGUUCGCUAACAACACGCCUGCACAAGUCGAUUACCUGACAGCCCAGUACACCACAGCCAAGAACAAAGUCCUGUCAGACCUCGACAACAUUGGCCCUUUGCUGGGGGGUAGGAUCCACAUUCAGCUGGAGAAAUCAGUGAUUCCUUCGCUGGACACCGCCCUGCGUAUGGCAGGAGCAAAAAUUGAGAGUGCCAUCAAAGCCAUGCGGGAGACCAAAGAGGCCCUGGAGAACGUCAGCUCGUCCUUGGAGGUGCUGCAGGACGGGGUGGGGAAGCUUCAGGCCAGCCUGUCAGGAGAGCGUGCCUCUCUGUCCAACACCCUGUCCGACCCCGCCUGCACGAACGGAGCUGUGUCACAUACCUGUAGCACCAUUCGCUCCACACUGUCCCAGCUGGGAAUCAAUGCUGACUUCUCCAAGAUCCCAGAUGUUAAUCAUGCCUUGGCCAAUGUCAAUACUGUCCUGAAAACAGAUUUCAGCAACAUUGUACAAAAGGGUUACGCAUCCUUUAACGACACACCAAGACUGGUUAAAGAGCAAACAAAAAACAUUGUUGCAGCUCUGCCUCGAGUAAAGGGGAUGCUGGAUAAGAUUGGUGCAGAGAUCACCGGCUUCUCCAAGAUGUUCCCCGUGGAAGCUUCUCUGGCAAAUUUCACCAUUUUCCUAAAUGAAAGACACAAAGCUAUUGAGUCCUAUUACCCCCAAAUCGAUCAGAUGGAUUUUUACAGGUGGAUCGCCUGCGUGGCGGUGCUCUGCAUGGUCGUCUUGGUUAUGGCUUUUAACAUCCUCGGCCUGCUGUGUGGUAACUGUGGCUACGACAAGCAAGCUAGCCCGACCACCCGCGGCUGCCUGUCGAACACUGGGGGAAACCUGCUGAUGGCUGGUGUUGGCUUCUCGUUUAUCUUUGCCUGGGUGCUGAUGGUCAUCGUUACCACCCUGUUUGUUGUCGGGGGCAACGUGGAAAAGCUGAUAUGUGAACCUCUGGCUAACAGACAGCUGUUUAAGAUCAUUGAUACGCCGUUCCUGGUCCAUCCUGAAAAGAGGAACUUCCUUCCUGGGAUGCUUUUCCAGAAUCCAAAUAUUGAUUUAACUCUAGGCGGCAUGUACAGGGAGUGCUAUGACAACAACGGUCUGUAUCACGCUCUACAGUUGGAGACCAUGUUCAACAUUAACUCCUUCCUCAACAGAACAGUGUACAACAGGGACCUGGCCAAAGUGUUUGAUAGUGUGCAGGUGGACCUGCAGGGCAUCACGCUGCUGGAGCAGGCUGGCAGAGACAACCUCAUCAACUUUGCCAACUCUGGAAUUGGACAGAUUGACUUUCAGGUUUAUCUCACUGAGGUAAAUAAAGGAGUCACUCUAAUAGAUCUGCUGUCCUUCUGUAGCGACCUGGAGGGUCAGGCUGACCAGCUGCCACGUGGUGCUCUGGAGAACGCACUGAGAGGCCAUGCCAGCAGCAUUAGAUUCAUUCACCGAGAACAGGUGGUGCCACUGGAGCAAGCAAUGAAAUAUGUCAGAGCACGGAGUACGCUGCAACAGAGUAUCAAACAGCUGCAGAAGACAUCCAACGACCUGCCAGUCAAAGUCACAAAUGUCCUGAGCGCCAUUGAUGCAGCAGAGUAUCUCCUCACUCAUAAUGCCUCCCACGUGGUGAAGCAGGAAACAAAGGCGUAUGUGCAGAGCUUGGUGGGAUACUUCAAACAGUACACAGAAUGGGUUAAAAACUCUCUAACUGCAGAGGUGGCCCAGUGUAAACCCAUCAGCAACAUUGUGGACAGUAUGGAAAUAGUAGGAUGCAGCUUCAUAAUCGACUCACUGAACACAUUCUGGUUUGGUCUCGGCAGCUGCUGCGUCCUGCUCAUCCCCAGCAUCAUCUUCUCUGUCAAACUGGCCAAGUAUUACAGAAGGAUGGACACAGAGGACGUCUUUGAAGACUCUCCCUAUUGUGACACUCUGACUCGGUUCCCUCGGGCCUCUGCCCCCCCGAGCUACUCAGUCUGGUGACCCACUGGAACUCUCUCCCUGCUGAUGAGGUAUUGACGAUCACUGAUGACUCCACUAACCCUUACAGCUACGCUAACAACCAGCCAUUGGACAGGAGAACUGGAACUGAUCUUCCCUUUGUGGAUCACCGGGCUGUUUAGGCUUCCGAUUCAGAUCUUUUAACACUUCCAAGGACAAAAGGGAAGAACAAUCAUGAACUCUGGGAUGAAGGCGUCUUUCAGUAGUCCUUCAGGCCAUUUGACAAAACCACUAAUGCCAGCAAAAUCCUAUGAAGUGUUUUUUCGACCCCUUUACCAUUUUAUUAUGUACACCAACAGCUGCAUAUUUAGCUGCAUAGAGAAUCAAUUUGUACUUACAUGAUCAGUUUUAAACAAGGCAACACAAGUGUACAGUUUUUACACUUUCAAGUCUUUUGAAAGUUUUAUAUAUUUUUUUGUUAAACUUUGUUUUAUAACAUGUAAGUAGGUUUUGUAGUAAUAGCUUUCUUUUUCUCUGUGAAUAUUUGUAAUAUAGCUGACAUAAUUUGCAUCAAACAGGUUGCACUUAGCAGGUGUUUAUUUAAGGAAUCGUUUCACAAUUUGAAAAAAAAAGUAGCUACUCGCUUUCUUUCAGAGGGUUAGAUGAGAGGUUUAUGUGAAAUUCAAGCAGCUGGAAAGCAAAAAGACGAAGAGAAAAACAAGCUAACACUUGUGCUACGUGCACUCUCAAUAGUGCCCAAAUUGGCAAAAGUAAAAAAGGGAGGAACCACCGUAACAGUUCAGCCAAUAGGGGGAAAAUGCCAUUGCUAGGUAACAGAGUUAUCAUCAGAGUAUGGUCACCGAUGACCAUGAUGUCACUCACACAGUAUAAAACAUGGAUGUAGCUUCCAGGUAUGAAAAGUGAAGUCAACAAAGAAGCUGCAUUGUUUUUAUAAACCACCAGGGGGCCACACCUGUGGCUAAAAACACUGUAGAAGUCUCUGCUGAGUUCAUGGGCUCUGUCACUUAUUUUGGGUUAAUACUGACUAACAAGUUAAGUUCAUUUUGUAAAUCUUGGUCAUGUUAUGUUUCAGAAAGAAGGAUUAUCCAGGAUCUGCUCACUGGCUUGCGAUUGGUAAGUUGGUAGCCAGUGAGCGUGCAGUUUCAGUCAGACCCGCCCAUGUGUCAUCAUAUCUCGUUUUAAAAUACGAAUAUGGAGACAGAGGCUUCAGGAAGGGAAUUCAGAAAGCAGCAGGUGUCUGUGACCCCCCCCCCCCCCCCCCCAAAAAAAAAAAAAAAAUACGGCAAAACAUCGUAUUGAGUGUAAAAGAAUUUGUCGAUAUACUUCGUGCGAUCAGAGGAUCCACAGUUUUUAAAUAUUUGUAAAACUCGGCAGCUAGAAAGACGAUGGUGGUCAAACGGUGGAUCGUCUUUUCCAGUAAGUGCAAAACUUGCUUUGCUCAGUCUAAGCACAUCACAUUGUGAAAAUUCAGGAGCUUUGCAGCCAAGCAUGUAGUGUACAUGUCAUCCUUCAUAGAAGUGGAUUAGCUGAAAUAAUACACAAACCGAACAGCUGAACAGAUCAGAUUUAUGAAUAAAUGUUGAAACAAGGACAAGUAAUCCAGCUUUGAUUUAGGCUGCAGAAAACUUCAUCAAGUAGCCACCCAUAUAUAUCACCAGGAAACAAAAGCACACACCUCCUGUUGCUUCAGGUGAAACUGACACAGAUCACAUCUCUCAUGGGAAUCUACCAAACAGCUGUGCAGCUGUGUUUUUGACCAAAGAGUUGAAUCAGCUUACAUUCGGUGAGAAUUUGUGUCUUUUCUAAGCAUUUAUGUGUCACAGCAGACUUUAGAUAUGUUUUGAGCUGUUUCCACACUUUAUGUCCAAAUCUCAGUUAACCUCACAUAGCAGAGGUGCUAAUAUUCUCAGCUAACUCAAGACAAAAGCGAAAAAGGUAUUGAAUUAUUCAUUUAAGCAGCAAAGCGUCAGCUCUGCUCAGCUCAGUACAUCCUUGAAACAUGAAGACUGCGCAGUUUACUACAAAGUGUUACAAGCUAUUAAAUACACACAUGUGCUUAUUCUAUUGAAUCAGCUUUUAUUUAACUAAAUUUAAUUAAGUUCCUGUUUAUGUUGUUGUUUGUUCAUAAAAACUGUAUGUAGGCUGUCAACUUGUUUGAUCAGCUUCAAAAGUUUGGUAAGCGCUGUUUUAACAGGAUUUAAGGAGCGAUGACACAAAAUAUCAUGUUUCACCAGAAUGUUAAUGAGGGCCUGUUGCUUGUGUUGUCGAAUAAAAUUCCCAGAAGCCUCUGCAAUAUUAAAGGUCUGAAAAACACAACUGGGCUUGUGGUGAGGAUGCAAAUCUCUAAAUAAAAACUCAAAUCCA